UGUUCAGGCAGAAUGGCUGCCUUCUUGACAGCUGGAAUUAGACAGGACUAAUCCCCUUACCCGAAUAAUGCUUGGGGGUUUUGGUGAAACAGACAGGCUCUUAUAGUCACUCUGAUGCCAAUCUGCAUAAACUAUAUAGGAGUCCAUUCACAUGGAUCUCCAUACACAAGCAGUGGACUUCAGAUGUAAAUGAAGAGGAAUAACCAGGGAGGCUUCCUUCAAGGGACAGUAAAGUGCCAAGAGCUGCAUGAAGAGCACAGUGCAAACAGUCACCAAACUGGACAGUGGAUUAGAUGACUGGGUUCCAUGGUUAUUUGCAUUUUUAUCCUGCGUUUCUGAUCCAGUAUCUGAUGUAUUUGGAUCUUCCCUGCUUCUCAAGUUCAGAUUAGUUUCAGCACCUGAUACAAACAGAGAAAAUGCUUGUCAGCCUCCUGUUAACUAGUGGCUUUCACAUUAACAGCAUCUCUAACAGUUUCCAGCUAGUAUUUGAUGUUAUUUGAAGAGACAUCCAUACCUACUUGCAAGAGACUAGCUACAGAGAGGUAUCAGCUGUAAGAGCAUGGUGGGAGUUCAUGAUUAUAAAAGGAAUACAACCUUUAAGUGAAAACCUAAAGACUCUGAAAAGUAAACAGCAUUUGGACUAUUAUUUCAGUAAACUGACUUUGCCGAAAAGAUA